UACAGAGGGUGCGAGCGUUGUCCGGAAUCACUGGGCGUAAAGGGCGCGUAGGUGGCCCCUCAAGCGUGCGGUGAAAGUCAGGGGCUCAACCCCUGAUCGGCCGUGCGAACUGGGGAGCUUGAGCACUGUAGAGGCAGGCGGAAUUCCGGGUGUAGCGGUGGAAUGCGUAGAGAUCCGGAAGAACACCGGUGGCGAAGGCGGCCUGCUGGGCAGUUUGCUGACACUGAGGCGCGACAGCAUGGGGAGCAAACAGGG
rnacentral:rRNA from 1 species